UCCAUGUGCUGUAGAUUCAUUUCCUCAGCCUCCUGCAAAUCAACACUGACCAACAUCAGUGUGAGGAGGAAGGAAGCAAGCAGAGAGAAGCAGGGGAGCAGGAGAGGUUUUACCAGAUGUCCAAGAACAGAGGCAACUGCUAAUUUAACAGUGAGGGCGGAUAAUUGUUGUAUGAGCAGAUGUAGACUCAAGAUCCUUCCGGAUGAGCAGUUUUUCUCUUCAUUCUUGGCAGAAUAAACAGCAUUGUCGGUACAUUUGGUCGCCUUUGUGAUGGAAAACCUGUUGGAUGUUAGAGGGAGGACUGCCUCAGAUGACAGAGCUUUCACAUGAUCUGCUGAAACUCACCACGGCAUGAGGAUGGCUUUUGCUGGAAGACUUUUCAUUAGUUAUCUGCUGCUGUUACACUCGACUAUAGCCCAGAAUACCUCCCAGGAUUCCACUGCCUCCUCCGCCAUCCUGCUCAGCCCCCAGAGCCUCAUCAGCCUCUUGCUCUUGGCCCUGACUGUCACCUUGUCUGGCACGGUCUACCUUUGGAUCCUCAGAUACGUUUGUAUCGGCUGCUGCCAGCCUGUCGCCGUCGGCCCAGAGUCAGAGGCCCUGGCAGUGAUGGUUUGAAGACAUGGAGUCUCAAUUAGAGCCUAACAUGCUGUUAUUCAUGAAGGUUAAUAUGCUUUGUUCAUGAAGUCAACUAGUGCUGACUUUAUAUGUGAGCAAUCAAGCUCACUACACCUUGGAGGGAAUAGUAUUAGCAUUUGUGAGGAUAAUUUGUAAUUUGCAAAAAAAAAAGAAAGAUAAUUGUCAGGAUGGAGGUGUAUAUGUUGCGUAAUCAGAGUUGGUGUUUGCAGCUCAGGAGGAGGCUUGUCAGGGCUAAAUUAAUGCAAGUGAUGCCAAGUUCAUCUGAAUGGCACAAUGUUUGUCUGUGAAUAACAGCACUGCUGCAUUUGCUCUUCACAAACCAAGUUAGUUGUUAUCUAGAAACAGAAAAUAUAAUGCAUACAUUUUUAUUUGUACUUACAUUUACAUUCAGUAUUUCAGGUUUAGCUCCAUACUUCUCAGUGAAUACUCUUGAUUUAUUUAAAUUAAUGAACCCAAACCAAACGCAUCUGAUAUUGUUGAAGAUGUAAAUGUUUCUUUCUUUUCUUUUUUUUUUUUUCUUUGCUUCCUGUAAAGAUCAGUGUGAAGUCUGGUCUGAUUUUAGGUUUAACUUUAGUAGAGAAGCUCAGAUCCAGUUUUUUCCCCCAAUCCUUGGUCUAAUCAGUCAAUAUCGGAGCUAAAAUUAGAUCCAGGUAUCUUAUUGGUUCAUCUCUAAAAGUUGGUGAGUUUUAGCCCAUUUUGGAGCAGCAUUCUGGAUAGACAUAAACCUCCCACUGUGAAUUUGAGCUUACAUAAGACAACCAAAUUUAGUUAUAUAUGUACUUGGAUUUAUGUUAUUAAUAUUUUUGUAUCAGAUCAAUAUUUUAAUUUUUGCUUUGACCUUUUUAAGCUAAAGGGAGAGCAAUCAUUUCUCUCUCUUAGCAAAUCUCAGCAAGGUUUGCAUUCAUUACUGUCAGACUGGUGACUAUUAAGGCUGAUUUAUACUCAGAAACCAGGUCGUCUGCGUGUGUCGCAGUGAACACAGAUAUGUCCCCGCCCCUUCCAUAGACGCUUUUGUGCACGUCUCCAAAAUUGUAGGUGAGC